rnacentral:rRNA from 1 species
AUUGAACGCUGGCGGCAGGCCUAACACAUGCAAGUCGAGCGGAGCGGCGGACGGGUGAGUAAUGCCUAGGAAUCUGCCUGGUAGUGGGGGAUAACGUCCGGAAACGGGCGCUAAUACCGCAUACUAUCAGAUGAGCCUAGGUCGGAUUAGCUAGUUGGUGGGGUAAAGGCCUACCAAGGCGACGAUCCGUAACUGGUCUGAGAGGAUGAUCAGUCACACGGGAACUUGGAAACGGGCCGGACUCCUACGGGAGGAAGAGGGGGGGAAUAUUGGACAAUGGGCGAAAGCCUGAUCCGGCCAUGCCGGGUGUGUGAAGAAGGUCUUCGGAUUGUAAAGCACUUUAAGUUGGGAGGCGUGACCAACAGAAUAAGCACCGGCUAACUUCGUGCCAGCGGCCGCGGUAAUC